rnacentral:tRNA from 1 species
GUUCCCGUGGUGUAGUGGUUAUCACGUGCGCCUCACACGCGCAAGGUACCCGGUUCGAUCCCGGGCGAGAACA